rnacentral:rRNA from 1 species
GGUUAAGCGACUAAGCGUACACGGUGGAUGCCCUGGCAGUCAGAGGCGAUGAAGGACGUGCUAAUCUGCGAUAAGCGUCGGUAAGGUGAUAUGAACCGUUAUAACCGGCGAUUUCCGAAUGGGGAAACCCAGUGUGAUUCGUCACACUAUCAUUAACUGAAUCCAUAGGUUAAUGAGGCGAACCGGGGGAACUGAAACAUCUAAGUACCCCGAGGAAAAGAAAUCAACCGAGAUUCCCCAAGUAGCGGCGAGCGAACGGGGAGCAGCCCAGAGCCUGAAUCAGUGUGUGUGUUAGUGGAAGCGUCUGGAAAGGCGCGCGAUACAGGGUGACAGCCCCGUACACAAAAAUGCACAUAUUGUGAGCUCGAUGAGUAGGGCGGGACACGUGGUAUCCUGUCUGAAUAUGGGGGGACCAUCCUCCAAGGCUAAAUACUCCUGACUGACCGAUAGUGAACCAGUACCGUGAGGGAAAGGCGAAAAGAACCCCGGCGAGGGGAGUGAAAAAGAACCUGAAACCGUGUACGUACAAGCAGUGGGAGCACGCUUAGGCGUGUGACUGCGUACCUUUUGUAUAAUGGGUCAGCGACUUAUAUUCUGUAGCAAGGUUAACCGAAUAGGGGAGCCGAAGGGAAACCGAGUCUUAACUGGGCGUUAAGUUGCAGGGUAUAGACCCGAAACCCGGUGAUCUAGCCAUGGGCAGGUUGAAGGUUGGGUAACACUAACUGGAGGACCGAACCGACUAAUGUUGAAAAAUUAGCGGAUGACUUGUGGCUGGGGGUGAAAGGCCAAUCAAACCGGGAGAUAGCUGGUUCUCCCCGAAAGCUAUUUAGGUAGCGCCUCGUGAAUUCAUCUCCGGGGUAGAGCACUGUUUCGGCAAGGGGUCAUCCCGACUUACCAACCCGAUGCAAACUGCGAAUACCGGAGAAUGUUAUCACGGGAGACACACGGCGGGUGCUAACGUCCGUCGUGAAGAGGGAAACAACCCAGACCGCCAGCUAAGGUCCCAAAGUCAUGGUUAAGUGGGAAACGAUGUGGGAAGGCCCAGACAGCCAGGAUGUUGGCUUAGAAGCAGCCAUCAUUUAAAGAAAGCGUAAUAGCUCACUGGUCGAGUCGGCCUGCGCGGAAGAUGUAACGGGGCUAAACCAUGCACCGAAGCUGCGGCAGCGACACUAUGUGUUGUUGGGUAGGGGGCGUUCUGUAAGCCUGUGAAGGUGUACUGUGAGGUAUGCUGGAGGUAUCAGAAGUGCGAAUGCUGACAUAAGUAACGAUAAAGCGGGUGAAAAGCCCGCUCGCCGGAAGACCAAGGGUUCCUGUCCAACGUUAAUCGGGGCAGGGUGAGUCGACCCCUAAGGCGAGGCCGAAAGGCGUAGUCGAUGGGAAACAGGUUAAUAUUCCUGUACUUGGUGUUACUGCGAAGGGGGGACGGAGAAGGCUAUGUUGGCCGGGCGACGGUUGUCCCGGUUUAAGCGUGUAGGCUGGUUUUCCAGGCAAAUCCGGAAAAUCAAGGCUGAGGCGUGAUGACGAGGCACUACGGUGCUGAAGCAACAAAUGCCCUGCUUCCAGGAAAAGCCUCUAAGCAUCAGGUAACAUCAAAUCGUACCCCAAACCGACACAGGUGGUCAGGUAGAGAAUACCAAGGCGCUUGAGAGAACUCGGGUGAAGGAACUAGGCAAAAUGGUGCCGUAACUUCGGGAGAAGGCACGCUGAUAUGUAGGUGAAGUCCCUCGCGGAUGGAGCUGAAAUCAGUCGAAGAUACCAGCUGGCUGCAACUGUUUAUUAAAAACACAGCACUGUGCAAACACGAAAGUGGACGUAUACGGUGUGACGCCUGCCCGGUGCCGGAAGGUUAAUUGAUGGGGUUAGCGCAAGCGAAGCUCUUGAUCGAAGCCCCGGUAAACGGCGGCCGUAACUAUAACGGUCCUAAGGUAGCGAAAUUCCUUGUCGGGUAAGUUCCGACCUGCACGAAUGGCGUAAUGAUGGCCAGGCUGUCUCCACCCGAGACUCAGUGAAAUUGAACUCGCUGUGAAGAUGCAGUGUACCCGCGGCAAGACGGAAAGACCCCGUGAACCUUUACUAUAGCUUGACACUGAACAUUGAGCCUUGAUGUGUAGGAUAGGUGGGAGGCUUUGAAGUGUGGACGCCAGUCUGCAUGGAGCCGACCUUGAAAUACCACCCUUUAAUGUUUGAUGUUCUAACGUUGACCCGUAAUCCGGGUUGCGGACAGUGUCUGGUGGGUAGUUUGACUGGGGCGGUCUCCUCCUAAAGAGUAACGGAGGAGCACGAAGGUUGGCUAAUCCUGGUCGGACAUCAGGAGGUUAGUGCAAUGGCAUAAGCCAGCUUGACUGCGAGCGUGACGGCGCGAGCAGGUGCGAAAGCAGGUCAUAGUGAUCCGGUGGUUCUGAAUGGAAGGGCCAUCGCUCAACGGAUAAAAGGUACUCCGGGGAUAACAGGCUGAUACCGCCCAAGAGUUCAUAUCGACGGCGGUGUUUGGCACCUCGAUGUCGGCUCAUCACAUCCUGGGGCUGAAGUAGGUCCCAAGGGUAUGGCUGUUCGCCAUUUAAAGUGGUACGCGAGCUGGGUUUAGAACGUCGUGAGACAGUUCGGUCCCUAUCUGCCGUGGGCGCUGGAGAACUGAGGGGGGCUGCUCCUAGUACGAGAGGACCGGAGUGGACGCAUCACUGGUGUUCGGGUUGUCAUGCCAAUGGCACUGCCCGGUAGCUAAAUGCGGAAGAGAUAAGUGCUGAAAGCAUCUAAGCACGAAACUUGCCCCGAGAUGAGUUCUCCCUGACUCCUUGAGAGUCCUGAAGGAACGUUGAAGACGACGACGUUGAUAGGCCGGGUGUGUAAGCGCAGCGAUGCGUUGAGCUAACCGGUACUAAUGAACCGUGAGGCUUAACCUU